GCGAGCCGAAGCGAAAGCGAGUCUGAAUAGGGCGAUUCCAGUCAAGUGCCGCAGACCCGAAACCGGGUGAGCUAUCCAUGGCCAGGCUGAAGCGAGGGUAAGACCUCGUGAAGGGCCGAACCGACUUAGGUUGAAAACUGAGCGGAUGAGCUGUGGAUAGGAGUGAAAGGCUAAUCAAACCCGGCGAUAUCUGGUUCUCCCCGAAAUAUAUUUAGGUAUAGCCUGGCGCGUUUCGUCGCGGGUGUAGAGCACUGUUUGGACGCGGGGCCCUACAAGGUUACCAACUUCAGACAAACUCCGAAGACCGUAGACGUAAGAGCGCCGGAGUCAGGGACGCGGGGAUAAACUUGUGUUCCGAGAGGGAAACAACCCAGACCGUCGGCUAAGGUCCCUAAAUAACGGCUAAGUGGUUUAAAGGAUGUGGCGCUGCACAGACAACCAGGAUGUUGGCUUAGAAGCAGCCAUCAUUUAAAGAGUGCGUAAUAGCUCACUGGUCAAGUGGUGUUGCGCCGAAAAUUCUCGGGCCUUGAGUCGUUUACCGAAGCCACGGACUUCAGUCUAACUGGAGUGGUAGGGGAGCAUCCUGUAGCGAUCGAAGCGGCGGCGUAAGCCAGCCGUGGACGUAUCAGGAGAGAGAAUGCUGGCAUGAGUAACGAGAGACAGGCGAGAAACCUGUCCGCCGAAAGCCUAAGGGUUCCUGGGUAAAGCUAAUCUUCCCAGGGUCAGUCGGGACCUAAGCCGAGGACGAAAGUCGUAGGCGAUGGACAGCAGGUCGAUAUUCCUGCACUGCGAACGUAGCGUUUGAGCGAUGGAGGGACGGAGAAGGGUAGGCCAACCACGGCGCUGGUAGACCGUGGGCCUUGCCGUAGGCCGGGGACCAGGAAAAUCCGGGCCCCAUAAAGGCUGAGGGUUGGGCCGAGCCCGUUUAGGGCGAAGUGGUUGACCCCAUGCUUCCAGGAAAAGCUUCUAAGCGAGUUGCGUACGCACCCGUACCAAAACCGACACAGGUGGGCGAGUGGAGAACACUAAGGCGAUCGAGUGAACUAUGGUUAAGGAACUCGGCAAAUUGUCCCCGUAACUUCGGGAGAAGGGGAGCUCUGGAGGGUGAAGGCUUAGCGCCGUAAGCCUCUCGGAGCCGCAGAGAAUAGGCCCAGGCGACUGUUUACCAAAAACACAGGUCUCUGCUAAGUCGAAAAGACGAUGUAUAGGGGCUGACGCCUGCCCAAUGCUAGAACGUUAAGGAAGCCGGUUAGCCUUCGGGCGAAGCUGGCGACUGAAGCGCUAGUCAAUGGCGGCCGUAACUAUAGAUAGGACCCCGCGCGUAGAGGAAACUCUUUGCGAGCGGACGUUGUAGUUACGUAAAUAAACUUGGCUAUAUGCUGGGAACUCCGGUCAGUAUCCGGCGCUACUCGCCUCGAACGAGUGAGGCAGUAACAAUGUGUCCGGUGCGGAUGAUCAGCAGGAAAGACGGUAUUAGUGGACGCGAGGAUCAAGAGGGUCCCACCGAAAAUCGGGUAUUACCUGGCGGGCUUUACGGAUGGAGAAGGCAGUUUCAACGUCUCCUUCCGGCCGCGCAAGGAUUACCCCGUUCCGUGGAAGAUCUCUCUCAGCUUCAAUGUAUCGCAGAAGGAUCGGGUCAUACUGGCCCUCUUCAAGCGGCACUUGGGGUGCGGCACUCUUCGAGGCCGGCCUGACGGGGUGUGGUACUACGAGACCACGAACCUGAAAGCCAUAACCGAGAACGUGAUACCUUUCUUCGAGAGGUUUCCGUUUCUCUCCGCCAAGAAGAAGAGAGACUUCGGUAAGUUCAAGCAGAUCGUAGCCCUGGUACAACAGGGUGAGCAUCUGCGGGCGAACGGUAUUCGGAAGAUACUCCAGAUCCGUGAAGGCAUGAACGAUGGAGGCAAGAGGCGCCAUCGGCACGCCGACAUACUCGCGACGCUAACCGAAUCCUCAGAGACUAUACGCCAGGCACCGCUGCAAAGCGGUGAUGAUAUAGUCCGAUCUCCAUCGCGAGAUGGAGGGCCAGAGAAGGCCGCGCACGAAGACGUGCGUAACAUAAAUGAACGGUCCUAAGGUAGCGAAAUUCCUUGUCGGGUAAGUUCCGACCUGCACGAAAGGCGUAACGAUCUGGGCGCUGUCUCGACCAUAGACUCGGUGAAAUUGUAGUCUCGGUGAAGAUGCCGAGUACC
rnacentral:rRNA from 1 species